rnacentral:rRNA from 1 species
AGGACGAACGCUGGCGGCGUGCUUAACACAUGCAAGUCGAGCGGAAAGGCCCUUCGGGGUACUCGAGCGGCGAACGGGUGAGUAACACGUGAGCAACCUGCCCCUGGCUCUGGGAUAGCCUCCGGAAACGGGGAUUAAUACCGGACAUUCUCCUUCUUCCGCAUGGUUGAGGGUGGAAAGUUUUUCGGCCAGGGAGGGGCUCGCGGCCUAUCAGCUUGUUGGCGGGGUAACGGCCCACCAAGGCGACGACGGGUAG